rnacentral:rRNA from 1 species
UUCCGGUUGAUCCUGCCGGACCCGACUGCUAUCAGAAUAGGACUAAGCCAUGCGAGUCAACGUAGCAAUACGUGGCAUACGGCUCAGUAACACGUAGUCAACAUGCCCAGGGGACGUGGAUAACCUCGGGAAACUGAGGAUAAACCGCGAUAGGUCAUAAUGUCUGGAAUGAUUUAUGGCUAAAAUCUACAUGGCCCCUGGAUUGGACUGCGGCCGAUCAGGCUGUUGGUGAGGUAAUGGCCCACCAAACCUAAAACCGGUACGGGCUCUGAGAGGAGAAGCCCGGAGAUGGGCACUGAGACAAGGGCCCAGGCCCUAUGGGGCGCAGCAGGCGCGAAAACUCUGCAAUAAGCGAAAGCUUGACAGAGUUAUUCUGAGUGAUUUCCGCUAAGGAGAUCUUUUGGCACCUCUAAAAAUGGUGCAGAAUAAGGGGUGGGCAAGCCUGGUGUCAGCCGCCG